AGUGAACGCUGGCGGCAGGCCUAACACAUGCAAGUCGAACGAACCUUUCGGGGUUAGUGGCGGCCGGGUGAGUAACCCGUUGGAACGUGCCUUUAGGUUCGGAAUACCUCAGGGAAACUUGUGCUAAUCUCGAAUGUGCCCUUCGGGGGAAAGAUUAAUCGCCUUUAGAGCGGCCCGCGUCUGAUUAGCUAGUUGGUUGAGGUAAUGGCUCACCAAGGCGACGAUCAGUAGCUGGUCUGAGAGGAUGAUCAGCCACAUUGGGACUGAGACACGGCCCAAACUCCUACGGGAGGCAGCAGUGGGGAAUCUUGCGCAAUGGGCGAAAGCCUGACGCAGCCAUGCCGCGUGAAUGAUGAAGGUCUUAGGAAUGUAAAAUUCUUUCAGCAGGGACGAUAAUGACGGUACCCGGAGAAGAAGCCCCGGCUAACUACGUG
rnacentral:rRNA from 1 species